UGGUUCCAACAACUCCACUAUGCCGAAGAAUAAUACUAUGAAUGUAAAUUCACCUUUGGUAGCUGCUUCUGGCUCUAAUAAGCAUAACGAAUUUUCAAAAAACGGCAAAGGGACAACUAUGGCAGUACAGACGAAGCAGGGACGUGGAGGGAGCCGGUUUUGGAAGUAGUCAUGGACAAUUUCACAGCAUCUGAACACAAAUGAAAGCAUAAACUGAAAUACAGUACUACACAAGGAAAAAUGUUACCUGUGCUGUGGGACUGCAUUUUGGAUCAACUACUGGAUUGGAAUUUUAAUAAAGUAUAAAGGUCUUGAUACAUGACUGGACCAACCCAGAACAUGCAAAAUAGUUCAAAAGAUGCAUGCAACCCAUAGAUAAGCCUUAAUCUAUAUUGUCCCAAGUCACUGCUGGGUUAUUGGAAGAGCCACCCUAGUUUAUGUCUGUCGCUGGAUAAGUCACUCACACAAUUAAGUCUUUCAAUUUCCUCCAUCAGAUUUCUGAUGCAAGUCUGGGUGAAAGAUUUAAUCAUUUUUCCUGACUAUUUUGAAAAACAUGCAUUAUGGAAAACCAAACUGGAAAUUAUUCAGAAUAACUUAAUUUGAUAGUGUGACUUUCUGUAGCAAUAGCUGCAAAGCACAAAAAAAGCAGUAUCAGGUCUUAUGAUUUGCAGCUUUACCAAUUAUAAACCAAUAGCAUUGCUUGUUGUCCUGACUUUAUAUACAUUUCAUCUCCCUGAAAUAAACCAGUGCUACUAAUGAAUACAUUCUUGCAGGUCUGUAACCAAACAGGAAGGCAGCAACUUUAUUACUGAA